CCUACGGGUGGCAGCAGUGGGGAAUAUUGGACAAUGGGCGAAAGCCUGAUCCAGCAAUGCCGCGUGUGUGAAGAAGGCCUUCGGGUUGUAAAGCACUUUCAGUGGGGACGAAAGCCCUGCGCCUAAUACCAUCGAGGCAGGACAUCACCCACAGAAGAAGCACCGGCUAACUCCGUGCCAGCAGCCGCGGUAAUACGGAGGGUGCGAGCGUUAAUCGGAAUUACUGGGCGUAAAGCGCGCGUAGGCGGUCUGAUAAGCCGGUUGUGAAAGCCCCGGGCUCAACCUGGGAACGGCAUCCGGAACUGUCAGGCUAGAGUGCAGGAGAGGAAGGUAGAAUUCCCGGUGUAGCGGUGAAAUGCGUAGAGAUCGGGAGGAAUACCAGUGGCGAAGGCGGCCUUCUGGACUGACACUGACGCUGAGGUGCGAAAGCGUGGGUAGCAAACAGGAUUAGAUACCCGGGUAGUC
rnacentral:rRNA from 1 species